CCCGUAGGUGAACCUGCGGAGGGAUCAUUACACAACAAAAUAUGAAGGCCUGGCUUCGCGGCCGGCUGAAAUAUUUUUUUCACCCAUGUCUUUUGCGCACUUGUUGUUUCCUGGGCGGGUUCGCCCGCCACCAGGACCAAACCAUAAACCUUUUUUUUAUGCAGUUGCAAUCAGCGUCAGUAAAAACAAUGUAAUUAUUACAACUUUCAACAACGGAUCUCUUGGUUCUGGCAUCGAUGAAGAACGCAGCGAAAUGCGAUACGUAGUGUGAAUUGCAGAAUUCAGUGAAUCAUCGAAUCUUUGAACGCACAUUGCGCCCUUUGGUAUUCCAAAGGGCAUGCCUGUUCGAGCGUCAUUUGUACCUUCAAGCUUUGCUUGGUGUUGGGCGUUUUUUGUCUCCCUCUUUCUGGGAGACUCGCCUUAAAACGAUUGGCAGCCGGCCUACUGGUUUCGGAGCGCAGCACAUAUUUUGCGCUUUGUAUCAGGAGAAAAGGACGGUAAUCCAUCAAGACUCUACAUUUUUAACUUUUGACCUCGGAUCAGGUAGGCAUACC
rnacentral:rRNA from 1 species